rnacentral:rRNA from 1 species
AUUGAACGCUGGCGGCAGGCCUAACACAUGCAAGUCGAGCGGAUGAAGGGAGCUUGCUCCUGGAUUCAGCGGCGGACGGGUGAGUAAUGCCUAGGAAUCUGCCUGGUAGUGGGGGAUAACGUCCGGAAACGGGCGCUAAUACCGCAUACGUCCUGAGGGAGAAAGUGGGGGAUCUUCGGACCUCACGCUAUCAGAUGAGCCUAGGUCGGAUUAGCUAGUUGGUGGGGUAAAGGCCUACCAAGGCGACGAUCCGUAACUGGUCUGAGAGGAUGAUCAGUCACACUGGAACUGAGACACGUGCAAGACUCCUACGGGAGGCAGCAGUGGGGAAUAUUGGACAGUGGGCGAAAGCCUGACCCAGCCAGGCCGCGUGUGUGAAGAAGGUCUUCGGAUUGUAAAGCACUUUAAGUUGGGAGGAAGGGCAGUAAGUUAAUACCUUGCUGUUUCGACGUUACCAACAGAAUAAGCACCGGCUAACUACGUG